UGGACUUUGUUCUUCCAGCAAAGAGAGCUCGUAUUUAAACAUUGCAUAACACAGCAGCAAGAGACUGCUCUAAGCUCCAGCCUGCAGCUCACUGACUCUGCGGUCUGGAGCCCCACCUUCCAACAUGGCAGGGAGCUAUCUCCAGGUGGGAGGGGAGAAAGAGGAGCUCUCGCCGGAGACCCACCUCCAAAUGCACCUGCCUCUCAGCCAGACCUCCACAUCUGCACUGAAAAAGCCGCAGCAACCUCUUUGUACCACUUUUGCUGUUUGUUUGCUUUAGGCCAUUUCUGCCUGAAAAAUAACUAGAGCUGAGCCAAACACCUCGUCUCCGUCCCACAGGAAAUUCCAAUAUUUCAACGUCUGGUUGUGGCCCAUAGUGUGUCAGUUCAACAAAAUGAAAUAUUCUGAUAUGAUUCGAACUGACUGGAAAUAAAAGAUUUCAUUUUGAUUUUCCCAACCAAAUAAAUAAAUAAAUAAAUAAAUAAAACUCAA